GAUGAACGCUGGCGGCGUGCCUAAUACAUGCAAGUCGAGCGAACGGACGAGAAGCUUGCUUUUCUGAUGUUAGCGGCGGACGGGUGAGUAACACGUGGAUAACCUACCUAUAAGACUGGGAUAACUUCGGGAAACCGGAGCUAAUACCGGAUAAUAUUUUGAACCGCAUGGUUCAAAAGUGAAAGACGGUCUUGCUGUCACUUAUAGAUGGAUCCGCGCUGCAUUAGCUGGUUGGUAAGGUAACGGCUUACCAAGGCAACGAUGCAUAGCCGACCUGAGAGGUUGAUCGGCCACACUGGAACUGAGACACGGUCCAGACUCCUACGGGAGGCAGCAGUAGGGAAUCUUCCGCAAUGGGCGAAAGCCUGACGGAGCAACGCCGCGUGAGUGAUGAAGGUCUUCGGAUCGUAAAACUCUGUUAUUAGGGAAGAACAUAUGUGUAAGUAACUGUGCACAUCUUGACGGUACCUAAUCAGAAAGCCACGGCUAACUACGUG
rnacentral:rRNA from 1 species